GACGACGCUGGCGGCGUGGAUUAGGCAUGCAAGUCGAACGGUAUCAUCCUUUCGGGGGUGAGAGAGUGGCGAACUGGUGAGUAACACGUAGGUUAUCUACCCUCAAGACGGGACAACCCAGGGAAACUUGGGCUAAUACCGGAUGUGAGCAACUUUUAGUUGUUUGAAAGGUGGCGUAAGCUGUCGCUUGGGGAUGAGCCUGCGUCCUAUUAGUUAGUUGGUGAGGUAACGGCUCACCUAGGCAAUGAUAGGUAGGCGGCCUUAACGGGUGGUCGCCCACACUGGGAUUGAGAUACGGCCCAGACUCCUACGGGAGGCAGCAGUCGAGAAUAGUCUACAAUGGUCGGAAGACUGAUAGUGCGACGCCGCGUGAACGAUGAAUCCCUUCGGGGUGUAAAGUUCUUUUAUAUGUGAGCAGUGCUUCUUAUAUUAACAGUAUGGGGAGAGAGAUAUUAGCAUAUGAAUAAGCAACGGCUAACUCCAUG
rnacentral:rRNA from 1 species